AUACAGUAAUAUGAACAAUAAAUAAAUCUAAAUAAAGAUCACAAAACAAGCUCGAAUUCUUGAAGCCUGAACAAGAAGUUCUGGUUUCUUAUCCCCAACAGAGUCGCCAGAGCUGUCACACCUCCUUUAUCCUACCCCAAAAAAAUAGUAUAAGAGAGUUUUUUCCAAUUUAAGUGACAAUUGAAAUGGGAUUAUUAUUUAAGAUUAGAAUCACCACAUGGGAUAGUUAAUGGUGUCCCAAGUCACCGGUUUAGAAUCUCGAAUCGAGGAAAUUGACUCUUAUUAUAGUCUGCGAACACAGAAAUCCGGGUGCAGAACUCUGUUAACCCGGGAGAAGGUGUUAGGCAUUCCCGAAUUCCGUGGUUUUAGCACGGUCGCUCAACUAUUAUUAUUGGCCUAAUUAUCUGAUCUUUUACACGUUUUAAACCUAUUGUGCAUUUUUAACUUUUUAGCCGCUUUUAAUAUUUCAAGAAAUUUCAAGGUUAUUUAAAACACAUCGUAAAUCACGCUACAUGAAAUGCACCCGUAAUUCGCGACAGGUUCUAUUUAACAUUGUUAGAGAAUAGAAUCGGGUCACAUGAAAUGUACACCCGAAUUUUAGUAAUUACAAAUCACAACUACGUCACGGGAACCAUACCUAUAGCCAUGAUAUUUAUUUAAUUAACGCGCCUAAAACACACUAUGAGAUUCAUUUUUAGUAUCUAAGUUAUAAAAUAUGAGGGCCAUAGGUGGUUUAGUUAUGAAUGGCACACCUCAACUUAUUAAAAGAAAGGAAUUAUAUUCAAAUAAAGCGAAUUAUGGGGUUCAUGCUUAAUCUAAAUCAAAAUUCGGUUUCGCGUUCAUCAAUUCUCGAUUUUACCAUCAGUACUCCAACUGAUUAAGAGUCAAGUCGUUCCAAUUAAAAGAUAUGAUUCUCUGAAUAAACAAUUAAACUUUCUUAUAAAUGAAAUGUUUCCACGGUCAUUAUAUUCAAGCAACUCUGAGGUCAAAAUCAAUAAAUCACACUUCAAUUUAAUACUACGACUUCGUGAACAUGCUGACCCUUUCUUCUGGAAAUUGACAGUGAACUCAGCAUGUCCCAAACCCAGAAUGUAAAACAUCAAAACCAAGCAUUACUUGAGCUUAAGAAAUUUUACAAUAACUUCGGACUCCAAAAUUUGUGGCACAUGAAAGUAAAUGCUAUGUGAUUUAUUUGAACAUCUUGUGAGGAUCUAGUGAGGAAGAAGUAAAUGCUUAGGACUGCCAGUGAUGAUUAACCUUCAAAUAAACUCACAAUUUUUAUCGCCCAUCACACGGGUUUUGAAAAAAAUCACAUGAGGGCCAUAACAUAUCAUCAAAAUCUGGCCAAUUCCAUGUUAGAACAAGAAAUUGAAGACAAUGACUACUAUUUCGACACAUUAGCUAUCAAAUGCAGAUUCACGCAAAAUCAGAGAUCCAAACGUUAAAGUCAAUAAUGUGAACACAACCAAGCUCAUAAAAUGGCACUUCCAAGACCUCAAUUCACCACAACAACAACAACAAAUAAACAAAUAAAUAAGUAAAUAACAGAGGGGAGGGAUGAACCUGAAAACGCAAGUAUUCUCUUAAUAAUUGAAAAUAGAAAAAUCGGCCGCUGCAUUUGAAUCCGAAAUCAACUAAAAUCGGCAACAAGAGUUAAACAGGAAUGCGAAUCGUAACGAACCCGAACGGCGAACACAACUCCAACCUCAAGCAAACCCCAUUGUUUGUCCAAAAAUUUCUCUGUUUUGUUCUUCUUUGGUUGUUCCCCUCUAUUUCGUGUAUAUGUAUGUGUGUGUGGAGUUGAAGAGUGGAUAAGAUGGCAAUAGGAGUGGAUGUUUUUUAUGGUUGUUUGGGGGUGAGUAGCGGCGCUAGGUUACAGGGGUGGUCGCUUGGUGGCGUGAGGACUGAGAAGAAGACCGGCGGGAGGGUGGGUCUUUGUUUGUGCCUUAGCACUGAAGAAGAUCCAGGGCAGGGGUCGUUUGGUGUUCUCUAAGGCUGCGAUUGAAGAUGACGAAGUCAAG
rnacentral:lncRNA from 1 species